GACGAACGCUGGCGGCGUGCUUAACACAUGCAAGUCGAACGGAAAGGCCCUGCUUUUGUGGGGUGCUCGAGUGGCGAACGUGUGAGUAACACGUGAGUAACCUGCCCUUGACUUUGGGAUAACUUCAGGAAACUGGGGCUAAUACCGGAUAUGAGCUCCUGCUGCAUGGUGGGGGUUGGAAAGUUUCGGAGGUUGGGGAUGGACUCGCGGCUUAUCAGCUUGUUGGUGGGGUAGUGGCUUAGCAAGGGUUUGACGGGUAGCCGGCCUGGGAGGGUGACCGGCCACAUUGGGACUGAGAUACGGCCCAGACUCCUACGGGAGGCAGCAGUGGGGAAUAUUGCACAAUGGGCGGAAGCCUGAUGCAGCAACGCCGCGUGCGGGAUGACGGCCUUCGGGUUGUAAACCGCUUUCGCCUGUGACGAAGCGUGAGUGACGGUAAUGGGUAAAGAAGCACCGGCUAACUACGUG
rnacentral:rRNA from 1 species